rnacentral:lncRNA from 1 species
AGUGGUUAAGAGCACUGACUGCUCUUCCGAAGGUUCUGAGUUCGAAUCCCAGCAACCACAUGGUGGCUCACAACCAUCCGUAACAAGAUCUGACGCCCUCUUCUGGAAUGUCUGAAGGCGGCUACAGUGUACUUACAUAUAAUAAUAAUAAAAAAGCCAGGUGUGGUGGCACACGCCUUUAAUCCCAGCACUCGGGAGGCAGAGGCAGGCAGAUUUCUGAGUUUGAGGCCAGCCUGGUCUACAAAGUGAGUUCCAGGAUAGCCAGGGCUAUACAGAGAAACCCUGUCUCAACAAAACAAAACAACAACAAAAAGGUCAGCAUGUAUUUGGAAAUCAGCAUGGUCUAUCACGUGUGAAUUCUACCAUUGUACCCAAACUUCUGAAAAACAGAAGCUGUAAGUUAAGAAAGAAAGGUGGUCGUGUGCAAUGUCAAAGCAAACAUAAACCCAUACCCUUACAACCGUGUUUUAGAUUUUCAGAGGGAGCCCUGCCCUUUGUCUAGGAGAACAACAGCACACUCCUGUUGGGGAGGAUUUAUGGCCUGUCUCUUGUUAACCCUCCUAGGAGGAAAGCAGGAAGAAGACAGGUAGCCUUAGCCUGAGGUGGCGACAGUGUAGAAUUCACCCGGCUCAGUUAGAAAGUGGUCUCACCCUCCAGUUUGUGGUAAGUAGACAGCUCCAGGGAGUUGUCACCCCUAUCGCUUGCCUCACCAGGAAAGAGUCCCUUUCAGUUUUCAGAGCUGGCUGAGUUUAUGUUCCUUCUGUCUGAAGUUGGAAUAGAAAUUGUUUUUGAGGGGAAAAAAGGAUCUAUAUUCCAAUCAAAGUGCUUUCCAAGGCCCCCGGAUCCUGUUUAUUUGUAAAUCCAUAAUUUACUGAACCGUUUUACCUUGCUUGUAAGGGAUUCAUGUACAAAUUAACAAUAGAUUCUCCAGUUAAUUUAUUUCUGCUGCCGUUCUUGGGUUUUAAGCGAGCAUCGCUUAAGAUCACCCCGCUCAUAAAUACCCCUGGGAUGUCUCAGAGCACACACAGGCAGAACACGGCAGGGCAGGCUCCCUUUAGCUGCUCCCUUCUCUGCGGAAUGACAUAUUCCGAUAGAUAAUCCACAAGCAGAUAUGAACUCGGUGACCCCAGAAAUGUGUCUGAUCAAACCUAACAAUGAAAACGCAACAUAAUCAGGGCAUAAGUGUACUGCUCUGCUCUCUCUCUCUCUCUCUCUCUCUCUCUCACACACACACACACACACACACACACAAUGUCAAGGGUGUGGAGGGUCACCUGGCUCCUUUUCUGGGAUGCGUUAAUCUGUGCUUUUCAAUCUUCCCCAUGCGUUCAUAAGCGCGCAGCUGUUCUAUAUUAGAUCUGGUUAGGAUCCAUUGGAGUGCGUAUGGGUUUUUCUUCCUUGAGAAAAAUCAAGACAGUGAGCCUGUCGGCCUUUUACAAGGCCUGUUGGAGAAUGUUUUCAAAGGAGAGUGACAGACAUAUUGCUGAUGUUCAGGUGUUCCCAUCUGUGUCCAGGUCGCAUUAACUGACUUGCAACACUCGUGUUUGAGGAUCUCUGUUUGUGUUUACCAGUGUACCUUCCCCGCGCUUUAAGUGACAAGAACUGACUAAACAAGGACGGACAGAAACGGAACUCCUAACAGAUGUUUCAAUAAGUGCCGCUAAGACACAGAAUGCUUAGCUGAGCUGAACUUCGUCCAGGUGGCUUUAAAAAACUAAUAAUAAUUUUCAGUUACUGUGAAACUGGAGUGUGUGACUUUACUGAAAUGUUUUAGUAAAACCCAGUAGAUAAAUCAAGUUUCUUGAAUUCCUUGAAUAGCUGUUAUUAUCAGUUUGACAUCUUAUUUUAAAGGAACUGCUAAAAAUUUGACAAAACAAAUGUGGAUGGUUGUAAUUGAACUUGACAAUCGGUAUAUUGGGGAAGAGAUGACACCCCUGUAUUGAGAGUGAGCGCUCUUGGCUAUAUCCCUCCAGCCACACGUUCAGGUUAAAUGUGUGUACAUCCUGGUGGCCAGAACAUCUGUUUCUAGCUUGUUGUUCCUCUUGGCUGCCUUUCAAUUGGAUUUCCUCGAGCAGGUCCCAGGCUUGUCACCGCGGCCAGGGUCUGUUAAACAUCACCACUGGUCCUACAUUAAGUGGGAGGUUCAGGGCUAAGCUAAUAACUUGCCUGCCUCUCUGACUGAUCACAGGGAUGCUCUCUGGGGCCACUUAUCAUGCGGGCUCCGUGGGGAGGGUACUCUUUGUCUGCACCUCUGGAAUUGGCUUUGCUUCCCUCAUUCCCAGAGUUACGGGUGGACAGACAGGGCUCACAGUCAGUGGCGAGGCUGUGUUUCGCUUUACCAAUGCCUCCCCUGACAGGGGUCAAAAGGACUGUCUAUCAAACACAACGCCUGCUGUGUCCUUCCUGUGUGAACUCUAUGAUAAGCCACGAUCCUCUCUUCCUCUUCUUCAUUCACUCUGAAAAGCAAUCAAAAAGGAAGUACUGUUCCAUGCAGUUUACAGGAACUCGGUGACUCUGGGGAUGAAAUUGUAACUUAACGUUCUGAAUCUUGGUUAUGAUGCACCUCAAUGAAUGCACAGCUACAAAGCUCUGAUGUUCAUGGCACAGCCGUGUGUCAUCUAUAGCCAAGGGUGGUUGUAAAGAUGCUUAGAAAUACCUUUAUGUGCCCUGAGGUUGGGCUGCACACCUUUGAUCCCAGCCCUUGGGAGAAAGAGGCAGGAGGAUCUCUGUGAGUUUGAGGCUAGCCUGGUCUACAGAGCGUGUUCCAGGACAGAUAGACAGGAGUAUACAGAGAAAUCUUAUCUGGAAAAAAGAAAAAGAAAGAAACACACACACACACACACACACACACACACACACACACAGAGAGAGAGAGAGAGAGAGAGAGACUUCAUGCCAUCCAAUGGCUUCCACUUUUUAAGUGUUCCAGCUAACUUAUAAAAAGAAACUGUCUAGGGCUGGAGAGAUGGCUCAGCCAUUAAAAGCACUAUCUGCUCUUCCCGAGGUCCUGAGUUCAAUUCCCAGCAACCACGUGGUGGCUCACAAUCAUCUGUAAUGGGAUCUGAUGCUUCUGGGAUGUCCAAAAACAGAGACAGUAUACUCACAUACAUAAAAUAUAUAAAUCUUUUAAAAGGAGAAAAGAAAAAAAAAAAAAAAAGGAAGAUGUCCAAGUCCGAGGGGAGAGAAAAAGGCACUUGGGGAGUUUGUCCCUUAGUAAGGAUACAGAUGGUCAAUUCCAUUCCCAUUUCUGCUUUCCAGGUGGCUUCUAAGAUAGCAAAGAAAGUUAGGUUCAGUCAGUUAUAACCUGUAGUUGUUCCGGGUGAUUCACAAACCAGGCAUUUUCUGAGAGAAGCCGGCUCCUGCUGGCAAACCUGAGGACAAUCCUUUCCCCGGGGCAGAUGUUCACAGGAAUUCCCCGCUUUUGUCAAACCUUGCCAUGGUCCCUUGCAAGAUGUGAGAUGGAUAUAGGAUAACUUCACCACCGGAAUUCGAGGAGCGGGGCCGGGGGUACUGAAAUGUGGCAACCCGGCAGGAUGUGAGGGCUUUGCCGUGCACGUGAGAGUUUCUCUUCUGAAGAGGAGGCUGUAGCAGAGAGAGGGAAAUAGAUGUUAUCGGGCUUCCCACUAACAGAAGGCAUGAGCAAGCCCUCCGCGUCUUACUAACUGUGCCGGGUCAGAUGGUUUGUUCUCAUUUUCAGAGUCUGAAAGCACUUCCAAAAAAAAGAAUCCAGUUUGUCAAUAACGUCUGCCAUUGGUUGGUAUAGUGGCUAUUCCUGGUUGUCAACUUGACAAUAUUUGGAAUGAACUACAAUCCGGAAUUGGAAGGCUCACCAGUGACCCUUAUCUGGAGGCUUGGAGAUCCUUAUCUGGAUCUUGGUUUGAAGAUCUUGAGCCAUAGUGGCUAUGGAUUCCAGAAGAUUGAAUCUCCGAGUUUAAGGAACACACCCUUAAUCUGGGCUACGCCUUUCAUCUGGGAUUAAAGGUGUGGUGGAACACACCUUUAAUCUGGGCUCCACCUUCUGCUGGAGACAAUAUAAGGACAUUGGAAGUAGGGAGUCUAGCUCUUGCUCUUGCUCCUUCGCCUGCUUGCUGCGUGAGACUGAGUAACUGCUAGAUCCUUGGACUUCCAUUCACAGCUGCGACUGAACCAUUGUUGGGAAUUGGGCUGCCGACUGUAAGUCAUCAAUAAAUUCCUUUACUAUUUAGAAAUUAUCCAUAAGUUCUGUGACUCUAGAGAACCCUGACUAAUACAGUUGGUUUUUUAAAGAGAAGGACUCCUCUGUUAAAAUGGUUUGAGCUUUAAAGGACAGGAUCAAAGAGAAACUGUUGAGUUUAGGGUGAGCAUGACUUCGCUCUCAGGCAAGGAAAAGAAAAGCAGAAGCUAUGGCCGCCGAGGUUAGUAGAGGGCUGGCCGUGGCUGGCAGAGAUGGCAUUUGGAGGCAUCACCCGCAUACUUUCCUGAAUCCAUGGGAGAAUCCUACCUGUACCAGGUCUCUGCUGCUUUGUAUUCACCAAGUGGAGACACUGAGGUGGUACAAUCUCAUCAGCUCAGCAAGCUUCCGUUUCUGUGUAAGAAAAAUCUGAGAUACGCCCGAGUUCUUCCUGUCCUCUCUUCAGCCCCUACUUCUUUGAUUCUCUUAUAAACAGAGGGAAAUGUAUUAUAUAUAAAUAAAUGUAGAGUGGUGCUGAGAAAAACCUGGAAGCGGGUCUGGGAGUGGGUAAGAGCACUCGCUAUAGCUUGAGGGCUGGAGUCCAUAUUCCCAAGACCCAUUUUUAGAAGCUGGACAUGUUUAGAUGCAUCUAUAAAACACCCCUCCAAGUGCUUGAGAGAGUGAGGGGCUGGAAGACAGCAGCAUAGCUCCAGGUUCUUCGAGCAACUUUGUCUCAAGAGCAAAUAAGAGAGAGUGAUUCAGCAGUGGACUUGACUUCUUCCUCUGGCCUCCUACAACACCUGUGCAUAUAAUAUCCACACCACACCACACCACAGAGGGAGGGAGGGAGAGAGACAGAAAGAGGUAGAAAGGGAGAGAGAAGGAGACUCAGAAAGGCACACAUACAGAGAGAGACAAACAGACAGACAUACACACACAUCAUGUUUUUUUUUUUUUAAUUAGAAAAUUUGAAGAAAGAAGUGUCCACAGGAUAAAAACCACCCAAAGGUGGAAUCGUGUCAGUCCUUAGCUCUGCAGAAGUCCAAGAGUCUAGGGGCACAGGGACAAGGUGGCAGGGAGUGACUGCAGAAGGAAAUACUGAACCAAGCCACAAAUAUGAUCUAAAUGACCCCAAGAUCAUCAGGCCUGUCUGACACAGGCUGAAGAGAUGGCUCAGUGGUUACUCUUCCUGCAGAGGACCUGGGUUUGCCUCUCAGCACAUACACGGUAACUUACGAAUACCUGUAACUCCAGUUCCAGGGGAUCUGACACCUUCUCCCACCCUACAAGGGUACCAAGCACACACAUGACAUACUUGCGUAAUGUUCAGGUUGAGCACCUAAGCACAUAAAAAAAAUGACUACACAGCAUGAUGCUAAGUGAGCUGUGAGCCUCUGGUCUGUCCCCUUUCAGCUUGGACUGACGAAAUGAUCUGUAAGAAGGGCCACAUAAAAACCCCAUGACCAAAUCAGGGUAUUGUCAACAUACAUGAGGAGGAGGGGCUGGGUAGGGAAGACGUUCCCUCUGACCUGGCAAACGUCCCAUUUUCUUUUUUUUUUUUUUUUUUCUUUAAAGAUUUAUUUAUUGAUUAUAUGUAAGUACACUGUAGCUGUCUUCAGACACUCCAGAAGAGGGCAUCAGAUCUCGUUACGGAUGGUUGUGAGCCACCAUGUGGUUGCUGGGAUUUGAACUCCGGACCUUUGGAAGAACAGUCGGGUGCUCUUACCCACUGAGCCAUCUCACCAGGCCCACGUCCCAUUUUCAUCUUUAAAGAUAUUUUGCUUUAAAUGACUUAAUGUACCGUCUAUAUAAUUUGAUUGACAGCAUGAUAGUAACCACCCAGAAUUUCUGUUUUUAUCACUGUUUUCUAUUUUAGGACUUCCUCCCACAUGCGCUUCCUCGUGCGCUAGAUUCAGUUUCUGAUCCAAGCUUUCUUCCUUUUAGGGUUCUAUCUUAAGUAUGGCAUUUGCUGUGACCUCAAAUAGAAUUACACGUACAUACAUACAAACAUACAUACACACAUGCACACACAUGACAUUUUGGCAGAUUGACUCCCAGGCCUUGAGAGUCAAUGAGUGCUUUUUAAGUAAAGCACUUUAUAAUUAUGCCAUAUCCCCAGACCCAAGCAAGAUUGUUAAAAGCUAUGUAAUAUCCCAUGAGGUAUGUUCUAGAAUUGUCCUAUAGCUAGAUUUUAAUAGAAUAUUUUUCUUUUUAAAAGAUAUUUGUUUAUUUAUUUAAUAUCUAUGAGUGCUCUGUCUUCAGACACCCCAGAAGAGGGACUCAGAUCUCUUUACAGAUGGUCGUGAGCCAUCAUGUGGGUGCUGGGAGUUGAACUCAGGACUUCUUGAAGAGCAUUCAGUGUUCUUCACCGCUGAGCCAUCUCUCCAGCCCCUUAAUAGAAUAUUUACAGUCACAUUUAUUUUGUAGAUGUAAACAUUCUAGUAACUAGGGGUUGUCUCUGUUAUGGCCCAGAGUCUGUAUAGUUGGAGAAGUCUAAGGUCUUCCGGACCACAGAAAUAAUGUUCUCCCCCUCCUCCCUCUCUGACUCUCUCUCCCUCCCCACCUCACCCUCCCUCUCUCAGAUAAGGUCUUGCUGUGUAGCCGAGGCUGGCCUUGAGCUUGUGAUGUUCCGGUUUCAGCCUCCCCAGUGCUGAGAUCACUGGCAUUGCUCUCAGAGGUUGGAAAGCUUCUUUUCAGGGUUCUGCUUUUCAGAGGAGCUAAGCGGCUGGAAUGUUCUAUUAAGUUGUGGAGUUAUGUAGAGGUGGCUCUGGUGUUAACUGAACUGCUACGGUGAUAACUGUAAGCAAGCAAGCAAGCAAGCAAGCAAACAAAAAACCUUAAAAGAAAAAGCAAUGCUUCCUGUCUUGUAUUAAUACAAACACAAUUCCAAAAUAAAACAAGUGAAACCUUCAUCUUCACUUGUCUGUAGGAAGAUGCCUUAGGGAUGGUGGGUGGAAUCAGGAUCAUAGGACAACAGAGAGGGCGUAUUAAUAGGUCUGUAAUGACAUAAAAUUUAUUCUGGGGGUGAGGUAAAACUUAAUGGUUCAUAAAUAGCAAAUUCAUUAUAUUUUUAAUACUCAAGUUAUAUUAACGCCAUAUAACAUCUUUAUGGUAUCAUUAGUACCAUUUAAGUCCUGACUCAACACAGAGAACAAACAUCUCCAAAUCUUGGCCAUGAACUGAUUAGCCAGAUAAAAUGUUUUAAUAAAUAUUAUUGGAUUAGAGCAUGGUUGGUUGGGUCAUAAACUGUCUUAUAAAUGUUUUAUGUCAUCUGUUGCACUGAAUUUUAAAAUGUUAACAAAUUAAUUUAUUUUAAAGGCCGCAUCAAGGUGAAAGCAGCUUGUUCUACUGGGACCGUAGAUCAACAGCCAUUUCUCAGCCUGUGUGCGAGCAACAGAAGCAAUGCUAACAUACAAAUGUGGUGUGGUUUGUUAAAUAUUCAUUUGCAAUUUGCAUUAAUGAUCAAAUUUUUGUAUUGGUCUAAACUGAAGACUGUACCAGAUCAUGAAGUACUCAGAAUAGAGGACACGUUUUGUAACACACCCCUCUCAGUGUUGACUGUUAGUUAUGAACUAACGUUUGUGGUCAAUGAUACUUAACUAUUCUGGGGAGACUUGAUCUGCGUUGGUUUUGAGUUCAAUAAUUCUUUCAGAAUUUAAAGUCACUAAGGAAAAUAUCAUCUGGGGGUCUCUUCUCGCACAGGGGGUCGCAUCUCAGUGACUUGUUCCUCUUGACAACUCAGUCUUGACCGCCUAAAAGUACUUCAACACCAAGACCACCAAGAGGAGAAAGCGAACAACUUAUUUUUUAAGUUAUCUCUGAGUAUUAUGAGAAGCAUCGUUUGGGGGUUGGAAGCCUGAGAGUCAGACUAACAGCAAAUUCCAGGAGAGGCUCCCAUGCUCUGACAGUCAAGUGUUUGAUUAAGCGCCAUAGCUGAGAUGUUCACUUUGCAUUUGGUAAGCUGAAAGCGCAGCCCUCGUGAACCAGCUGGAUGUGGCGGAGAGGUGAUUUGUAUUAUAGUAGCCUGGUAGCUGCCCAAUGAACCAUGUAAAAACAGUUCAUUAAAAUGUUUAUGUGCUUGGCUGGUUAAUGCAAAGAAAGCUUUAUUGCGGCUUUAUACAACCUUGGUAACUUCGGGCUGCCGUUCGAUCAAUGCGUUGUAAUGCCGCAAUGCCACAGAGAAGCACUCUCCUGAGCUCAAAAAGGAACCAAAACACUGGCUUUUCCCCAUUCUUCCUAAGAGAAUAUAUUUUCAGGACCUUAAGGCUAACCCAGACUUUCUUCUUUUCUGCUCGUUUACAGCCAGUUAAAAUGUUUCAAAUACAUUUGUAGCGGAUAGGGGCGCUUUUUGCACAAACGUGCUGGGUUGGUUGUACUAGAACUUAAUCAGUGAAUAGGUAAUUACUGCAUUGUGUUUGGAAGGCAAUGCUUAUGCAGUUUCAACCCACACACAGAUUUUUAUUUACACACACACACUCACACUGAACACACAUUCAUGCAUACAGGCAGACAAACAGAUAGGCACACACACACCUCACUGAACUAGAAAGCAGACAUGCUAAUUCCCUUGGUAGCUAUUGUUUCCCCACUGCUGUAGUACUUCUUAGAUCCGUACACUUGUUUUAUGGCUAUUUUGACAUUAAAAACAUAUUUUGAAAUAGUUAAGUAUUUAUGAAAGAAUGGUUUUAAAACACCUUUAAAAUAAGUAAAAUGGGGCUGGUGAGAUGGCUCAGCGGGUAAGAGCACCCGACUGCUCUUCUGAAGGUCCUGAGUUCAAGUCCCAGCAACCACAUGGUGGCUCACAACCAUCCUUAAGGAGAUCUGACUGGUAUGUCUGAAGACAGCUGCAGUGUACUUACAUAUAAUAAAUAAAUAAAUAUUUAAAAAAAAUAAGUAAAAUGUUCAUUUUUAAUAGGAAAAUUAAUCCAUGAAAGCUCUUACCUUCACAAUUACAACUUCAUGUGAAAUAUUUUACUUUUUUGUUACUACUCUGUGUGUGAGUGAGUGAGCGUGUGCCUGUGUAGAGGUCAGAGGACAAUUUCAGGAGUUGGUUCUCUCCUUCCAUUGUGGAUUCUGAUCAAACUCAGAUUGUCAGGUUUGUGGGACAAGUAUUUUUUUUACCCACUGAGCCAUCUUGCUGACCCCACAAUUAAAAUUUUACAUGGAAAGUACUAUUUAUAGUUCACCUAUAUGAAGUCUUUCAAUAAAAAGGUUUACUUGGGCGGGUCAGUGGGUAAGGUCACUUGCAUACAGCCAACGCUGACGACCUGAGAGAACCAAUUCCUACCAGUUGUCCUCUGACUUCUGCAUUCUGGGGCACACGUGGCCCCUAAAAGUAAAUGUUAAAGCUGGGCGUGGUGGUGCACGCCUUUAAUCCCAGCACUUGGGAGGCAGAGGCAGGCGGAUUUCUGAGUUUGAGGCCAGCCUGGUCUACAAAGUGAGUUCCAGGACAGCCAGGGCUACACAGAGAAACCCUGUCUCGAAAAACCAAAAAAAAAAGUAAAUGUUAAAAAAUGCGUUAGCUGGGUGUAAUGGCACACACAUUUAACCCCUAGCAUUUGGGAGGCACUAUUCACAAUCACUGCCAAUGCAUGGGGGUCCUAAGGUACAGCUUGUUUGUUUAUUUUAGUUCUAUGUGUUUGGGUAUCUUACCUGUAGGUAUGUAUGUCUGUGUGCUACUUGUGUGCCUGGUACCCACAGAGGCCAGAACAGGGUGUUGGAUCCCCUGGAACUGGAGUUACAGAUGGUUGUGAGCCAUCAUGUGGGUGCUAGGAGUACAACCCAGGUCCUCUGGAAGAUCAGCCGGUGUUCUUAAUUUCUGGGUCAUCUCUCCAGCCCUGCAUGAUAGACAUUUACUGGAUAUAGUUUGAGGGAAUAAAUGUCGAAGAGAAGUAGACACAGCACCAUCUAAAAUGGUUAUCAGAGGCUGGGCUGAUACUCAGCAGGUGAAACAGAAACAUGAGAAUACACUAUGGCACCCCAUAACCGGUGCUGCGGUGUAGACAUAGAGGGCUCAGCCUGGGCUACAGACUGAAUUCCAGGAUAGCCGGGUCUACACAGAGAAACCCCAAAACUAGAUACAUAGUUAGAUAGAUAGAUAGGUAGAUAGAUAGAUAGACAGACAGACAGAUGAGAUGGAAGGACAGAAAGAUGACUUAGUAGUUAAGAGCACUGGCUGCUCUUAGAGAGCAUCAGGGUUCAAUUCCCAGUACCGGCAUGCCACCUUACCCAUCUGUAACUCCAGUUCCAGGGAAUCCAGUGGCCUCUACCAGCACCAGACAUGCAUGUGGUGUGCAGACACCCAUGUAGACAAAAUAGAAAUCCACAUAAAAGAAGUUAAGUCAAUUAAAUUGGGAAAGCAAUUGAGAGAGAUGUUAACCUCUGUCCUCCAUGCAUACAUACACAGUGCAUCAGUAAAUAAAUAAAUAAAUAAAUAAAUAUUGAUUAGCAACUGUAGAUACAAGAUCAAAUUUUCUUCUAGAUGCGUAUUUCACCUUUAACUUUAAAAAAUAAUUAGACAGUCAGGGGUAGCACACACCUUUAAUCCCAGCACUCAGGAGCAAGGAGCAGGCAGAUGUUUCGUGAAUUCAAGGUCAGCCUGGUCUACAGAGCUAGUUCCAGGAUAGCCAGGGCUGUACAGAGAAACUGUCUUGAAAAGUAGAACAAAAAUAUUGAGGUACGUGUGUGCGUGCAGGUGUGUGCACAGGUGUGUGCACAGGUAUGUGUGCAGCUGCAUGCAAGUGCACAUGGGUAUCAGAAGACAGUGGAUGUCAGAGUACAGUUUGGGGGAGUUGGUUCUUUCUUUUUACCAUGUUGGUCUUGGAGAUGGAACUCCGGUCACUAGGUUUGGCAGCAAGCACCUUUAUUGCCUGAGCCAUCUUGCCAGCCCCCUUACUUGGUUUUUAAUGUAGGCUUUGAGGGGUUGUGUUGUGUCGAAAGCCAUAGCAACUCCAAACCACGGAAGAAUGUCUUGUUAUAGUUUUAGGUUAUACACCAUCAGCUUCCACACAAGCUGCAGAGGGCGUGAGUAGUGCUCCGACCCUGGGAACUGACACAUGGAUGGCAUGGGAGGGUCACUUUUGUGCUGCUGACCCCAACCCAUACUAGGAGCUAUGCUUGUAAGACUGAUUUAGUAUCUGAGC